AUCCAUUCUUGCACAGGGCAUCUCUUUCAUCAAUCAUGCUAAGAGCUUCUUGGAGAGGGAGAGCUUCAGCCAUUUUCGGAUCAUGUGGACCAAGACGCUCAAUUUAGCAAGUCUUAAUCAGCUGUCCUCUCUAAUCACAAAGAACCCAACCAGCUCAAUUUUGUUAUGAUCCUGACUGGGAGAAGCAUCUGUAUUGCAUUUCAAG
rnacentral:misc_RNA from 1 species